rnacentral:rRNA from 1 species
AUGAGGAUUGGGAUAGAUCUCACAGAUGAGGAUGAGGAUGAGGAGCUGGACCUGAGCAAGCAGAAAUCGUUGAUGCACAGUGCAUUCAUAUACGAUCCAACUACAGCCACAUUUUCUGAUCCUGUUGCUCGACAACGAGUUGGAAACAGCACGGUCCUUGAAGAAUCUUGCUUACUCACAUCAUCUGAUAUCUCGAUGUUGUCUGAUGGCUCGGUGAGUGCUUCGCUGGGCACCAUGAGACCACUUGUCGAGAAGCUCGACAUGCUGCUAGCUUCCGCUCAGGAAUACAGUAGCUUGCCCAAGAGGAUCAAGGAUGGGAUGCAGCUUCUCAAACAUGAUGUUGAAGUGUUAAGCUUCUACCUUGAUGAACUCGCAGAGGUGGAGGACCCUCCACCGAUGGCCAAGUGCUGGAUGAAUGAGGCGCAUGGCCUGUCUUAUGAUAUGGAGGAUUACAUUGACAGCUUAUUAUUUGUUCCACCUGACCAUUUCAUCAAAAAGAAGAAAAAGGGGAGGAGGAAGAAGAAGAUCAUGAUAAAGAAGAGGCUCAAGUGGUACAAACAGAUUGUAUGCAGAGCUCAAGUGUCAGAAUAUGGUAUCAAGACCAGUAAAAUCAAUCAUGUUAAUGUUUCUCGUCUUCCUAGUAAGCCCAAGAUUGCAAAAACAAUAUCGGAAUUCAGAAGCUAUGUCCAGGAGGCUAUUGAACGGUAUGACAGGUAUAGCCUUCAGUGCUGCAGCACCUUGAGGCGUAGAUUCUUGUCCACUAGCAUUAUGCUUCCAAUGCCCUAUGAAGAAGCUGCACACAUUGUAAUUGAUGGCCGGAUGAAUGAGUUUAUCAACUCACUGGCCGCCAAUGAUGCGGCAGAUCAGCAGCAGCUCAAGGUGGUAUCUGUUCUUGGAUCUGGGUGUCUGGGUAAAACUACACUUGCCAAUGUUUUGUAUGACAGAAUUAGGAUGCAAUUUGAAUGCAGAGCUUUCAUUCAAGUGUCCAAAAAUCCAGACAUGAAGAGACUUUUCCGCAACUUAUUCUUGCAACUCCACAAGAAGAAGCAGCCACGGCCCGCCAAUUGUAAUGAUCUUGACAUCAGCGAUAUUAACAUCAGCAAACAUCUGCAAGAUAAAAGGUAUCUAAUUGUUAUUGAUGAUUUGUGGGAUGCAUCAGUAUGGGAUAUUAUUAAAUAUGCUUUCCCGAAAGGAAACUGUGGUAGCAGAAUAAUAAUAACUACACAGAUUGACGAUGUUGCAUUAACAUGUUGCUGUGAUCACUCAGAGCAUGUUUUCGAGAUGAAACCUCUCGACGGUGAUCAUUCAAGAAAGUUAUUUUUUGAUAAACUUUUUGGUUCUGAAAGUGACUGUCCUGAAGAAUUCAAACAAGUUUCAAAAGAAAUUGUUGAUAUAUGCGGUGGUUUGCCGCUAGCAACAAUUAACAUAGCUAGUCAUUUGGCAAACCAGGAUACAGAAGUAUCAAUGGAUUUUCUGGCAUACACACGUGAUACACUGAGGUCCUAUUUGUGGUCAAAUUCUACUUCAGAAAUAACGAAACAAGUAUUGAACCUCAGCUACAAUAGUCUUCCACAUUAUCUGAAGACAUGUUUGCUGUAUCUGCAUAUCUAUCCAGAGGUCUCCAUAAUCUGGAAGGAUGAUCUGGUGAAGCAAUGGGUGGCUGAAGGGUUUAUUGCUACAAGAAAAGGGAAAGAGCAAGAUCAAGAAAUGAUAGAGAAAGCUGCAGGCCUCUAUUUCGAUGCACUUAUUGAGAGAAGAUUCAUCCAACCUUCAUGUAUCAACUACAACAAUAAGGUGUUGUCCUGUACUGUUCAUGAAGUAGUACGUGAUCUUAUUGCACACAAGUCUGCAGAAGAGAAUUUCGUUGUGGUAGUAGAUUGCAAUCGGAAGAAUAUAGCACUUUCUCAUAAGGUUCGUCGACUAUCUCUCGUCUUUGGCGAUGCAAAGUAUGCCAAGAUACCAGCGAACAUCACAAAGUCGCAAGUUCGGUCACUUAGAUUUUUUGGAUUAUUUGAGUGCAUGCCUUGUAUUAGAGAGUUCAAGGUUCUCCGUCUUCUGGACCUUCAACUAUUUGGUUGUUGUGGUGACCCUGACCCCAUAGACCUCACUGGUAUUUCAGAACUGUUUCAGCUGAGGUAUUUGAAGAUUGCAAGUGAUGUCUGCAUAAGACUACCAAAUCGUAUGCGAGGCCUGAAAUGUUUGGAAACACUGGAUAUUCUGAAUGCAACAAGAGUCACUGCUAUUCCAUGGGAUAUUAUACAUCUCCCACACUUGUUGCACCUGAUUCUUCCUGUUGACACAGACCUGCUGGAUUGGAUUGGCAGCAUGAGUGACUCUGUUAUCCGUGAGUGGAGCCUUGGCAAGCUGAAGUACCUGCAGGAUCUUCAUCUCACAUAUUUUUCUACAUUACCUUCUUACAAUCAUCUGGAGACAAGCAUGGAAGUUCUGGGUUCUUUAAUCGGAGGACAUGGCAACCUGAAAACUAUAGUAGUAGCUCAUGGUUCUUCAGUUAAAAAUAUUGUGGAUCUUAGUAUUGGCUAUGGUGCUUCAAAAGCAAUCACUCCAUUGUUUCGCAUGGCACCUCCCCCCCUUCUUCAGAGAUUUGAGUUCUCACUGCACAACUGCUGCAUAUUCUCACAAAUUCCUCUGUGGGUUGAGAAACAUGGCAACCUAUGCAUUUUGAAGAUUCCAGUGAUGGAAAUGAAGAUGGUUUGUGUUGAUAUUCUCGGUGGAUUGCAUGCCCUGACUACUCUGUCACUGUAUGUGGAGACGGCGCCCAUUCACAAGAUCAUCUUUAACAAGGCUGCUGGGUUCUCAGUUCUAAAGUACUUCAAGUUGAGGUGCACGACUGGUAUCCCAUGGCUAAAAUUUGAGGCGGAUGCAAUGCCUAAUCUCUUGAAGCUCAAGCUAGUUUUCAAUGCCAUCCCACCAAUGGACCAACCACUCUUUUUUACUUCAGGCCAACGACGACAUAAAGUGCGACAUGAACAUGGUACUGCAGUAAUUAGCAUCGAGCAUAUGCCAGGACUUAAAGAGAUCUCUGCACAAUUAGAGGGUGCAGUUUCUGAUCUAGAGCAUGCCUCGAGGACCUUCAUCAGUAAUCAUCCGAGCAAUCCCACAAUCAACAUGCAGUUGGUGGGUUGUAGUUCCAAUGUUGACGGAAGCAGAAAACGGAAACAACAACCGGAUGACACUCUGAAGGAUGAAUACGCCAAGAGAUUAGAGAUGACAGCUGAUAAAAGGAUUGCAACGUCGCUGGAGUCUUCUUCCAGUCUGGAUGAUCUGCGUAUGCCUGUGUCUCAAUUUUUUGACUCUCCAGCUUUUUCUAUCUGUCAACCUGUGGAGUCUUCUUCGAGGCUGGAUGAUGCAGAAAUUACACCAAGCGGCAGUGAUGAGGGGCGGCAGCACAUGUUCGACAAGGUGGUAACGCCGAGCGACGUGGGGAAGCUGAACCGGCUGGUGGUGCCGAAGCACUUUUCAGAGAAGUACUUCCCUCUGGAUGCGGCGGCGAACGAUAAGGGCAUGCUGCUCAGCUUCGAGGACCGUGGGGGCAAGCUCUGGCAGUUCCGCUACUCCUACUGGAACAGCAGCCAGAGCUACGUCAUGACCAAGGGGUGGAGCCGCUUUGUCAAGGAGAAGAGACUCAAUGCUGGGGACACCGUUUCCUUCUGCCGGGGUGCCACCGAGGCCACGCGGGACCGCCUCUUCAUCGACUGGAAGUGCCGGGCCGUAGUCCAUGAUUCGUUGCCAAAGUUAGACAGGCCGUCGAGGGCGAUCCAGAAGCGGGUGCGGCUGUUCGGAGUCAAUCUCGACACCCAGCAGCCCCAAGGUGGCGAGUUAACCCAUGAUGCCAAUGCCGGUGCAGCUGGAGUGGAGUCCUCAGCUGCUGCCUCAUCGCCGUCAUCCUCCCCGACAGAAGCGCAUUCCUCCUUGGAUCUCGGUAUGUGA